UGUGGCCCUGGUUUCUAUGGAGACCAAGAAUUGGGAGAGUGUGAGCCCUGCCAUGGAGCUUGUGAGACCUGCACUGGCCUGGGCUAUGACCAAUGCAACAGCUGUCAAGAAGGGUUACAGCUGCAGCACGGAACAUGCAUCUUGUCCACCCAGCCUCAGAGGGAAGAUAAGUUCUGGAACGAUGUGUUGAGACAUCAGCCUUGUCAUCCUUCUUGUAAAACCUGCAGUGGAUCUGAAACUCUCUGCACUUCAUGUCCAAAAGGGGCAUACCUGUUGCUGCAGGCAUGUGUUUCCUCCUGUCCACAAGGCACAUGGCCCUCAGUCAGGAGUGGCAGCUGUGAAAACUGUUCCGAGGACUGUGCCUCUUGUUCUGGAGCCAAUCUUUGCCAAAGGUGCCUGAAUCAGCCGGAUCGCCCUCUGUUCCUGCAUGAAGGCAGGUGCUUCCACGGGUGC